UACGUAGGGUGCGAGCGUUAAUCGGAAUUACUGGGCGUAAAGCGUGCGCAGGCGGCGCGUUAAGACAGGUGUGAAAGCCCCGAGCUUAACUUGGGAAUUGCGCUUGUGACUGGCGUGCUGGAGUGUGGCAGAGGGAGGUGGAAUUCCACGUGUAGCAGUGAAAUGCGUAGAGAUGUGGAGGAACACCGAUGGCGAAGGCAGCCUCCUGGGCCAGCACUGACGCUGAGACGCGAAAGCGUGGGGAGCGAACAGG
rnacentral:rRNA from 1 species